UGCUAAUCUCAUGGUGGCCAGGAAGCAAU
rnacentral:piRNA from 1 species